UGUCUGCUCACCAUGGACAGAAGUCUGCUUCCUCCUUGACCAACACUACCUUCCUGAAGCUCCUCUCUUUCAGCUCCCAUGGCCUCCCCUGGGCUUUUUCUUUAGGGAGGAGCACAGAACGGAAUUCCAUCUUAUGUACCAUCCGUAACAACCUAUGAAUAUGUAAGACGAUUCCAACCUCUGUGUCUACGAUCUUCUCUGAAGAUGAGUUCCUGGACAUCGGAUCACUGGGUCAGAAACCACAAAUUUCUAAGGUACACGACGGGCAGCCAGAUACCUUCCAGAAAAAUGACUCUUCCUCCUGCCAUGGUCAAGGGAUCUAUCUUGACUUCCUCUUGCCAACAUGAAAUAAACGCAUUAAAAAUGUGUUCCAAACCCACCAUUUCCUCCUAGUGAAAUUGGCUAUGUGCAUGUUUUUCAUCUGUUCAUUUAGUCAUUUGCAUUUCUUCUUCUGGGAGCUGUCCAUUUCUGUUGACUCUUUUCCUCCAAGGGUUUUAAUGUUUUCUAUUAGAUAUGCAAGAGCUUUGUAAAAAAAUAUUGAGGGCACUAAGCAUUUGUUUAUCACAAGCGUUGCAAAUAUUUUUCAUCAGUUCACCAGUUGGAUUUUCAUUUCAUUUAUGAUGGCUUUAGUCAUACCAAUUUUUUUCCAGUUUAAUUUCAGGUACACAAAUCUAUCCAAUUUUCCCCUUCUUUGUGAUUCAUUUCUUUGUUUUUCUUUUUAAGAAAUGCCUUCCUCUCCCUGGUACCAUUAACUCCCCAUUUUUGUCUGCAAAUUUUUUAUUAAAUUUUACAUUUGACUCUGAG
rnacentral:lncRNA from 1 species